rnacentral:rRNA from 1 species
UGGGGAAUAUUGGCACAAUUGGGCGAAAGGCCUGAAUGCAGCAACGCCGCGUGCGGGAUGACGGCCUUCGGGCUUGUUAAAACCGCUUUUCAGCAGGGACGAAGGUUUUUCUGACGGUACCUGCAGAAGAAGCACCGGCUAACUACGUGCCAGCAGCCGCGGUGAUACGUAGGGUGCGAGCGUUGUCCGGAAUUAUUGGGCGUAAAGAGCUUGUAGGCGGUCCGUUGCGUCGGAAGUGAAAACUCAGGGCUUAACCCUGAGCCUGCUUUCGAUACGGGCGGACUUGAGGGAUGUAGGGGAGAACGGAAUUCCUGGUGGAGCGGUGGAAUGCGCAGAUAUCAGGAGGAACACCAGUGGCGAAGGCGGUUCUCUGGACAUUUCCUGACGCUGAGAAGCGAAAGCGUGGGGAGCAAACAGGCUUAGAUACCCUGGUAGUCCACGCCGUAAACGGU